UUGAGUUUGAAUCCAUGGCUCAUGAUUGAACGCCGGCGGCAGGCCUAACACAUGCAAGUCGAGCGGCAGCACGGGUACUUGUACCUGGUGGCGAGCGGCGGACGGGUGAGUAAUGCCUAGGAAUCUGCCUGGUAGUGGGGGAUAACGCUCGGAAACGGACGCUAAUACCGCAUACGUCCUACGGGAGAAAGCAGGGGACCUUCGGGCCUUGCGCUAUCAGAUGAGCCUAGGUCGGAUUAGCUAGUUGGUGAGGUAAUGGCUCACCAAGGCGACGAUCCGUAACUGGUCUGAGAGGAUGAUCAGUCACACUGGAACUGAGACACGGUCCAGACUCCUACGGGAGGCAGCAGUGGGGAAUAUUGGACAAUGGGCGAAAGCCUGAUCCAGCCAUGCCGCGUGUGUGAAGAAGGUCUUCGGAUUGUAAAGCACUUUAAGUUGGGAGGAAGGGCAGUAAAUUAAUACUUUG
rnacentral:rRNA from 1 species